CGCGUUCACACACGCUCCUGUCUGCGCAGCCAGAGGAGGAACGGGUCGACAAGAAGACAAAAAGAGUGACAGGCGCGAGACUUGUGAAGUUCGACUUUACAGGGUGACGUUGGAGACAAAUGAACUUGGGGCAGAGAGCAGGGAUAAAAAAACUGUUAUUUCAGGGACGCACUUUACAGAAGCUUCUGCAGCCUGUUGAUCGGGACAAAGCAUGUGUAAAGUCUUCCUGCUGUUUGAAUGUACUGUGAUAUUAGCACUGGAAUAUUGCCCUGCUGUGUGGUUCGCCUCUAUGAAGCGGCUCCAUUACAAAGGUCAGAUGUAAAUACUUCCUUUGAAUAGGUUGGCUAACUUUCUGCAUGGCUGCCUGUGUUUGCAGUUGAUUUAAGAGUCCACUACGCAUCUGAGUGAUUGACUGCUUAAUUGUUUAGCUUCUACCCGUUUGUCUGUCCGCCUUCCCGUUCCGUCUGUCUUUAUCUGCCUGUUUUUAUGUCAAGUCCGUGUACGCUCUCUCGGCUGAUUUUUUUACUGGCAGUGCAGAGUGCGAACAGAGGUCAUAAAAAGUUCUCAAAAAGCAGCAGACAGGGCGUCAUGGCAGUGCCGAAGCAGGGCCGGAGCUGCCUCAAACAUUCCUCUCAUUGUUCAGAGGGCCUGUAAGUGUGCGAGCUCCGAAACCUCCAUGAAAGGAAGGGAAUCCAGCCACUACUGUAGCUGACAAGGUUUCAUUCAGCUGCACUUCAGUGCUGUCUGUCUGUUUUCCUGUCCGCCGUUCUGUCUGGUUCCCCUCUUGGGGGUAGUGACAUAAACUAAAUUGGGUUGUGGACGACACGAAAAAGAGCUGAAGGAAGUUCACAUGAGGCUGACGCAGCAAGGACAGAUGAGAUAAGUGUGAUAAAACGCAUUUAGUAAGAUCUGUUAGUCUGUUUUUCAUGUGCCUGAUUGUGGCUUGCGAUAACAGGGAAGAGGCUGGAGGAGUUCUAAGUAAAAGGCUAAAUGAAUGGCUGAAUGUUUGGAUGGAAGGUCAGAGCAAUAAUGGAGGAGAAGGUGAAGAUCCAGUCAAAGCUUUGGUGGGGUUGUUGGGUGGGUGAGUGGGUGUGCCGGCGGCAAUAUGUAUGGCUGGGCCCUGGCUCAGGAAACACUGGCGUAGUGGAAUAAAAGUGUAUGUGUGCCGUUUCUGCGGCCAUUCGUGCAUGUGCGGUUCAGUGGCAGCAGGGCAGCUGUGCACUAAGUACAGGGCUGGUGGUGGUGAGGGUGUUUGGCUACGAACCAGGCUGAGGAUAGGGUUACAAGCACAGGGCUACAGGGAGUGGACCAUGAGCUUGGGCUGGGUUCUUCACUCAAAAACAACAUUUUAAAGCUUUUCUUGAACAAAAAAAAUACAAAAACGACUAAUCUCCCACAUGUGGUACAUUCUUCCACUCAGUCCAGGACAGGCGGUGAUUGUUUGUCUUUGAUUCCCGAAAACUGCAAAAGAUCAGGCCCGCUGUGGAGCCAGAUCCCUUGUUCGAAUGUCGCUGAAUGUCACGGCCUUUGAAGUAAUUACACCCUGACACGCAACAUGAAACAAAAUCAGAACCUCGGCCAUAUGCACGGCCAAGGCAUGCUCUGUCUGAUGAUUGAGCUAGGGUGUGGUGCUGAGUAAGGUGUGUAAGUACAAAGAUCCAGGGAUGUGACCUGCAGUUCCCAAGCGCUUCUGCUGCAAAUGUUUUUUGAUUAAAAUAUCUUGAGCGGAGGCCUCGCUUCAGGGUCUACUGUCAAACUGGGGGAUGUAAAGACUCGUUUUGGUAAUUCAGUCGGCACGGUUUUUUUUUUUUUUUUUUUGGCUUUUGUCAUUCUGAACAGGUUGAACAUGUAAAAGCUUAAUGCAUCUGACAGCAGUUAUAAAAAGCAAACAUUGUAUAUUUGCUCUUCAGAAAAGGAGUUCUGGUGUUAAGUUCUCAGCUCAAGCCCUGAUUUGAAUCUUUAUUCAAAGCGUAUAGCGGAGGGCCGAUCACUUUGACCCUUCACCAAUACAUACUUUUAUAGAUUUUGUUUUUGAAGUUAUAAAAUAAAGCCACCCACUGCAUGUAGCCAGGAAUAAUUAGUAUUGGCAACCCCUCCUUUUCAUACCACUGUGCAAUUUAUACUCCUGUGUCAGGAAUUGUUGUCUUAAGACUCCAGUAAACUGGAUCUACCAACAACAGAUCACUUAUAGCUUUUUAGAUACAAACAAAAGUCCUAAUUUGUCAUUUUUCACAUGAGAUAUUGACAAGAAUAAUCAUCAGAGCAAAAUAAAUGGAAAUAGAAUGUCAUAAAGUAAGUUUCCAAAAAAAAAACAAUAUGCCAGGAAAUUAAAUUUUUUGUAAAACUUGAGCACUUCAAUGAUUAUUUAUUCCUGAAAGUCUUAAAAUACUUAAUUGCACAGAAAAAACAUAAAAUGAUACAUAAUCGUUUGAGAAGUUAAUUAUGAUGGUUUGUUUAAGAAUAGAAGACAGAAAUGUAAAGACAUAAAACUGCAACAAAAUGGGGUAGCAGUGAUCGACGUGGGUGAAUUUCCUAAAUGGAGGCAAGGAUAAUUUGUGCGUUGCAGUGGCUUACGUUCCCAGUUUUCAAGUAGAUCUAGCUAUUAAGCGAGAAGUGUUUUACAUUUUACGCUGAAAGCCAUGUCAGAUUUGUAUGCAUUUGCACUUUUACUCGUUUAUGAGACUGUGAAAUCCCAGUUCAAGCACAUACGAUGUUUGCCCAGCAGCCCCAUUGACAUAACCCUGUUUGUUUGCUGAUAGUGAGCAUAUUGUGCUCGAAGAGGUAGAUUCGGCCUGCGAGCCAUAGAAGGGAGGGUUGAUACGUGUUGAAACAACAAGAGGUCGAGAUCCAGCUGUCUCAACAGAGGCUUUUCCACUUAACCAUGCGGCCUUGUGUAAACGGCAAUGUCAAAUCUGGACUUGCGCUGAAGGGAACACGGCCAACGGCCACGUCUGCACUUGGACCUCUAUAUAUCCUGUGUAUAGAGAGCAGAACAGACACAUAAUGUAAACUACACACCCUAAACUGUAGAAGAAUCUAUAAACAAGGCAAUAGUUCAGGAAAACUGCAAAAACACCUUUGACUUUACUAGAGUGCAUCUGUUGGAAAUCAUCUCUCGGUGAUGCAAGUUUUCCAACUCGACACCUACAUCAAGAUGCAACACGUUGACACAUUUAUGCAACCCACGUGCCAGCGCAGUAUGAUUACUCCUAACCACAAUAAACAUCCAAUUACAAGGAGGCAGAAGAACAGUUUCGCAGAGGGAAAAAAAAAAGUGCGCUCUGUUGAGAUUCUCCAAGCCAGUGCUUGAGGUGAUGUGUUGGACAGCGCUUGUCAACCCAAUAACGCCGUCAUUACAGGGGGAAAGGGAAGGAAUGAGCUCAUAGACAUUAAUGGCUGCGGGUUCGAUGGGGGGAGCAAAAAGAGAGGGGGAAAAAACCGAUGGAAAAGAUGAAAAGGCAGGGAAAAUAACAGCGCGAGUCAAGCGACUGCUAGAUGAAAGGAGGGAGGGAUGGCAGGGUUUUAGGUUGAUCGUGGAGAGGAGUUAAAGGGGAGUUAGCAUGCAGCCUUUGAAGGGUGCUGGGACCUGAAGUGACCUUGGUUGUUUUUUUUUAUUGUGACCAGGUGGAGCUACUUUGGCACGGGAAGGAAAGUAUGUAAAAUGUCCAGAGCGACGAAUCCAAUUUAAUUUUCUAAAUCGAAUACAACCGAUGAUUCUUCCUUAGUCAUACUCAGGCCGUCUGCGUUUCUCUUGCAAAAAUAAAAGAAAAGUAAUAAACCAUUCUAAGGUAUUGCAAAAAAAAAUAAAAAAUCCCCAGAAAACAGUGUUUUGAGCUACAGUGACUUAAAUCUAUGCGUAAAUUUGACUGCAAACUGGAAAACAAAGGAACAUUACCCCUGCAGUACUGGAAAGCAUUGGCCUGUAGAUUAUAAUUUUAGAGGAAGUUGUGUACUAUUCUCUUUGAAACUGUUACAGAUCAGUGAUGAUGAUUGCAGAGGCCAAAGCUUCCCGUGUUUUUGGAACAGAGCUCCAGCAGAGCGGCUGCUUGAAACUUAUUUAGAGUCCGGAGUUCCCCAAACGCGUCCCAAUGACUCACGGCUUGCAGACGGUGGAUUAUUAAUGCUUCAAGAAGACGACAAAUUAGGGAACUCGGGAUAUGACACAGGUAUUCUUGAGACGGGUGCUUUUUUUUUUAAGGACUAUCACAAAACAUAUCAUGACAUUCUUUUAGAAACUUGUGUUUUGGUAACAUGAAAGCAGAGAAAACUCCACUUGUGUCCUAGUUUUCCACACAAGGACUUCAGAUAAAGAGGAUGAACAGAAAAAGGGAAGACGUCUUUGUAGGGCGUGCCACUUCCUUCUUAACGAACUCUCCAUUCUGUCAUUGAUAAGUUAUUUUUGUAAGAGAUCAAGGGAACCUGACGAGAGCCACGUAUGAAUACAUAGCACGUACGAAUUGUCCAGUCUUCUAACCUCAUAUUUCACCGAGACGUAUAAAAGGGAAGACUUGCGUGAGAGGGUAACAGGGGAGACAAUGCAUCAAGGGUAUAAAUGACACAGGAGUUCUAUUUUGGUGUUUAUUAUUCAUAUGUUUGCAUGCUCUGAUGAGCUCCUUUUCGACUCACCUAGACGUCUCUGCUGGCCAGGGGAAUUCCUGGCAGAGUGAUUUUUGAGACUACAGGACUGAAUCACAUUGCCAGGGAUUUCCAAUGGCUGACACGAAGAAAAGCAGCACCCUUCUCACGAACGCAUCCCCCCUCUCCACACACACACACAGACACUUAAAAUUACUACCUCAUUCAUGGACACACCCAUGCUUUUCAUUUGCAUGCUCACACACAAACACACCCGGCAAAUGCGGGUUUUCAAGCCUCGCUGUGCGGCUGCAGGGCUUAACUCACAUGUGAACAGUGAGUCCCUGCCAUGUUCACAGUGGUUAAGUUCUGCCGCCACAUGGCUGCAGCCUGCAGGUGGGUGAGUAAAGGUCAGGGAGGGGCAACAAGCGCUACAAAUGAGCAUCACACUUCUAACAACACCACUGGAUUGGAUACAGAACGCCGACAACAUAAUAAGCAUCAGGUAGAAACAAAUGACUUAGUUCAGUGAAUUAUAGUAGAAUGUAGUAACCAUUUGUGCAUUUAGUUCUUAGUGAUUAUCGUCUCUAAAAAUAGAGCCAACGCAAGGUUGUGCGUCUCCUUAAGCUGAUUUUUUUAUUUGUAGAUGCGCCAUGGCAAACUUGAUCAAUUUUGCUUUCUUCAAGUAAUGACUUACAGGUAAAUGACUGAGCAAACAUCCAAAUCAAUUGGAUAUAAGAAAGAAUGUGUUUUGCUUUGCAUUCUCUGUAAAUAAUCUAUUAAAAGAGUGGAAUUUGCAGUUUAUUUCUCUAAACUGUAUUUUUUAUAUAUAUAUUUAAUUUCAGCUUCAUUAAGCUUUCCUGGGUUCAGAAAAUAAGCUGAGCUCUGCAAUUAUAUAUAUUUUAUAACAUUAACGUAAAGAGGCUGCUACCGCUUUUUUUUAAACAUCCUGUAAAAUGUUUAUGUGAUGGUAGGCACCAAAGUGCAUUUCAAAAACAUACAAAAUAUAAAAUAACACACACCAAAUCAGACACUUACAGCUCAGUCUAAAAUUAUUCAUGUCCCUGGCAGAUUUAGGGUUAAGGUAAUCACUUCAGUAUUUACAUUUUAUCAUCAUGUUUCUUUUGAUCUGAAGAAAUUUUGGAGCAGCCUCAAAGUCCUGACUUGAAUCUGAUUGAGUAUCUGAUGAUGGCUAUGCUGGCUUCCAACCUCAAAGACUCUAAUCUCAUUAUCAGAGACAUCUAACUUGUUCAUCAAUAAUUAAAACCACAUUCAACUCACAGGUUUCCUUUUAUGGAACAGCUUCCCAGAAACAUGUCGAUCCAGCGCAUUACGACUUAAGAUAAAAAAAUAAAAAUAAAAAACGUUGUAGUGAAAGAGGAUUCUCAUUGCGUUUCCUCAGAGGUCACUGUGUCUUUUGUUUAGCUCACUGUGCCUCAUUUAUUUGUUUUACGUAGCUCUGAUUUCUGUGGCUGUCGUCUCGGCCAGGUCUUCGUUGUAAAAAGAGAUUUCUGAUUUCAAAGGAACUUUCUGGUUGAGUGAAGGUACUGUGAUCAGAAGAGGAACCAAAUUUCAGAAGCAACAUUACGACUGUUACUCACAUCUGUUAAUGAAGUGUCAUGGUGCGCGUUUGUUUCCGCAGCUCAGAGAUCAGCAGCAGAAAAAUAAUAAUAAUAGGAUCUAAAUUGGGACUCUGCUAACGUAACCUGUAAGUUAUGAAAGUGUUUUUUUUUCUUUUAUUACAUGUUGGUGUAAACAAAGUCAGGUGAGAACAUGACUUUAAAAACAAGACAAUUUUCCUAAUUAGAGUAAUAUAAUUGGUGCAAAACAAUGAUAUAUUUCUUAAGAAUUUUUGGAUGAAUUUGCACGCAUUUCACUAAGCAAAGUCACUGAGCAUAUUAGGAGUUCAUACAAAAGUGAAGAUUUUCAGUUAUAAAGUGAGGUUUUGUUAAGAGUUUUAAAGCAGAAAAUAUCUUACCUGAAGUGUACAGUUGUUGAGUCUUCAUAUAGCAGUAAACAUACAGAAUAGUUGUUCAUGAUGCUAACCGCUACCCCGAGAAAGGUCAAGACCAGACUGGACUUUUACCAACAACGACAAAAUAAAAUAAAUAAAUUGUUGCAGUUCAUGCAAAUAUUUUUUUUAACCUUUUCAUUUACGUCACAUCUGCAUUGGAAGUUGUUUUUUUUUUUUUACAGGAGAAACGAAAGUCAGGGGCGGUGCGACACCAGUGGUCUUCCUGUGUGAAACACAUAGUGAGAACGGAACAUGUAAAGUGUUUCCAGUCAGAGAAAAUAUUCGAUACAAGAAGAUCCCGAACGGUGCAAAGCCUCUUAUCUCGAUUUAUAUUUUAUUGGAAAUAACCAAGAUAUAAAAUGCAAUCAUCACAACCAAUUAAAGAUUCUUAAAAUAGUGCGCCACUAAACCGAUAUGCUUUUUUUUUUUAUUUUAAAAUUGUCCUAAAGUGUUAGAUGUUCGCUUUUGGUCUUAGAACCUCUCUGACCAUAUUAUCCAGAUUAAUACGAAAUAAAGAAAAGAAGAGAAUACCACGAUUAAGAUGCUAAUAGCUUAUAAUGCUCCAAGUUCCAACUUAGUUAAAACUUCUUAACUAUACCUUUGACCUAUUUUGUUUUCAGUCUGUGUAAAAAAAUUCAAACUUAUUUGACUUAAAAUAUAAGAAAAUCCUCAAAAUGUCUGUUAAUUUGAUUAGUAUUUCUUCAUCUUUUAUAUAUAUAAAAAACUGUAUAUAAAUAUUUACAAGAGAGACAAAAACUUAAUUUUUAUUUUGCCUUUUAUAUAUUUAUAUUUCAAAUGUCUUCUCUGAGUAUGGCAGGGAAAAUGACAAGUUCCUUUUGUGUGCGUGUGUGUCUGUGUGUGUGUGUGUGCGUGUGCGUGUGUGUGUGUGCUCGAACUUGGCAAAUAAAGCUGAUUCUAAAUCUGAUUUCUUUAAAAAAUAUUAUGAUGUCAAAGAAAUGGUUUUCUCAGAUUGACUCUUUAACUUUCCGAACUCAGUCUCACACCUCGUUAUUUCAAAAUCAACCCCAUGUGUUCAGGGCUGACAGUAAGUGUUUGAUGGAGUACAUGUGUUCACAGAUGACUCACUGUACAGUAUUGUCAGACGCUGACAUAUCAUAAGGGAGAGGGAAAAUCAGUGAAGAAAAAGAGUUGACAAUCUAUAAAUUUCCAGUAAAAAGCUGUAAUCUGUUGAAUUUGCUGAAACUGAGCAGCAUCGGAGAGUCUGUGUCUGCUAAAUGUCAGCUGUCUCAUUAAGAGUAAAAUCUGUUGCCGCCCCUGUAGGGAGAGCUGAGUGUCACCUUAUGUCAUAAUUUCUGUCGCUGGGCUGACCGAGUCGCUUUGGGCAAGUGUUGUGUUUCUUUGACGUUUGCUUUGUGUUCACAUUUUCCCUUCGCUUCCACCUGUUAGUUUUUUUUUUUUUCUUCAUUUUUUUUCUUUUUUCAAAAGAGCAUCACUGCCUGUUGGUCUGAUGCUUGUGUGAUUGUGUCUGUCUGUGUGUGUGAAAACUUACCUCCGUCGUCGCCUCUCCUCAGCCCCCGCUGGGUCGGUCUCCUGUGCCUGCUGUGCUGAUAAUCAGUGUGUGACGUCGGCUGGCUCAGUUCAGCAGGAACAGGGGACUGUUCUCAUUUCCACACACAUAAACAGAAUCACACAUAGACAUUAUCUUCUCUUAUCACGUGGAAGCACACUUCUGUUGCUUUAAAUUCUGUUUAAUGACUAUUAACUGUUUUCUGUAAAUCUGUAUCUGUUUUGUGUAUUUCUGCUGUGUAAUAAAUUAUCAGAAGUGCAAAAUGUUUAAUCGCGUUGUUUUCUGUAUUGAAUAAAUGUUCCUCCAUAAAUAUUAAAGUUGAUUAAAAUUACAUUUACUUGAGUCAUCACUGUGUGUGUCUUCUCUUUUUGUUAUCCUCUCACUCACUUCAUGAUAAAUCUAACCAAUGCAUUAUUCGCUCAUCAUGUCUCUGACUCCUUUUUUGAGGUCAACCAGAGGAAAUCAAAUCACGCUGCAGACACCUGACAGUCUGUGGUUAAAAGCAGCACCUGCAAGGUGAAUGUUGGGUGGCAUUAAAAAAAAAGCAUUAUCUAAAUUAUCUAAACAUUAUCUAAAUCCUAAAGACUGCAGACUAUUAACCUUUCACUUUCUUUGAGAUCUGCUCUCUCUGGCACGCCUUCUUUCACAUCAGUGAAGACAGUGGGUGUUGCUAGACCUGUUUUACUUGCGCACGUGCCCAAGGUUAUGCCUUCUAUGGCACAGUAAAAGCUCCUGGUCAAAUUUUAAAAAAUAAAUAAAUAAAUAAAAUUAAAAAAAAACUGCAGCC